UCGGAUAUGGUGUAACGGCUAACAUUACCGCCUUUCAUCGUUGAAUCGCUAAUCUCUCCCGCGGUAGCUCGGGGUUCGAUUCCCCGUAUCCGAA